GCUCCCUUAGCUCAGUUGGUAGUAGCGUCGUGCUAAUAACGCGAAGGUCAUCAGUUCAACCCUGAUAGGGAGCA